AUUCUCUAGUAACAGAGUUCCAGCUGGGAUUCAUGGAUGCAGCUCCUGUCCCCAGACCCCUGAGAACACACCCACUCAGGGAGAACAUCAGGAGUGACACCCUGUGGCUCAGGAGCUUUGUGACUUGGCACGCCUUAUUCCAGACCCAAAUCCAACUGGACAUCGCAGAAGCAUCUUUAAGAAAUCUGCAUGAAGGUCCCAGUUUUAGAUGCUCCCAACUCCUCCCAAAC
rnacentral:lncRNA from 1 species